rnacentral:snoRNA from 1 species
CACCUUCGUGUUGCCCAUUCGCUCUGCUGCUAGUGAAUGCAGUGUCAAAAUAGGUGCAGAGCAAGGCUCUCUACAGGGCUUUCCCGCCAGAGACCACCGUCCAGGCACAGGAACUGCUGAGGGACAGUC